rnacentral:rRNA from 1 species
CCUACGGGUGGCUGCAGUGAGGAAUAUUGGUCAAUGGGCGCAAGCCUGAACCAGCCAAGCCGCGUGCAGGAAGACGGCUCUAUGAGUUGUAAACUGCUUUUGUCCGGGGGUAAACGCAGAUACGCGUAUCUGUCUGAAAGUAUCUUACGAAUAAGGAUCGGCUAACUCCGUGCCAGCAGCCGCGGUAAUAAGGAGGAUUCGAGCGUUAUCCGGAUUUAUUGGGGUUAAAGGGUGCCUAGGCGGUCGUAUAAGUUCGCGGGGAAAUCCCGAGGCUCAACUUCGGAAUUGCCUUUGAUACUGGUGGGCUAGAGAGUAGGAGAGGUAGGCGGAAUGUAUGGUGUAGCGGUGAAAUGCUUAGAGAGCACACAGAACACCGAUGGCGAAGGCAGCUUACCAAGCUACCUCUGACGUUGAGGCACGAAAGCGUGGGGAGCAAACAGGAUUAGAUACCCGAGUAGUC